GACGAACGCUGGCGGCGUGCCUAACACAUGCAAGUCGAACGGGACCAGGGGGCAACUCUGGUUCAGUGGCGGACGGGUGCGUAACACGUGAGGAACAUGACCUUCGGCGGGGGAGUAGCCGGCCCAACGGCCGGGUAAGUACCGCGUACGACCUUUCGGGGACGAUCCCUGGAUGGUGAAAGCAGCAAUGCGCCGAUGGAGUGCCUCGCGGCCUAUCAGCUAGUUGGUGAGGUAACGGCUCACCAAGGCGACGACGGGUAGCUGGUCUGAGAGGAU
rnacentral:rRNA from 1 species